ensembl:processed_transcript BC065397 cDNA sequence BC065397
GCGAGGAGGGCCGACCCGGUGCCACGCCCCCGAGCCUGUUGCGCAACUCGCGGACGGGGAGAGAGAGAAAAAAACAAAAGGAAAAGGAAUAAUGAAGGUUUUGAGGUGCAAGGCGUGUGAGGGUGGUAUACAUCUACAUGUGUGUAUGUGACAUGUGUUCAAAAGGCAGAGGCACUGGGUCCUCCGGAGCUGGAAUUACUGGCUGUUCUGAGACACCUGACAUGGAUGCAGGGAACCUAACUUGGGUCCUCUGGUAGAGCCAUCUCUCCAGCCACAACCGUGAAAGGUUUUUUUAAAGCAGUUCUCCAACUCAGACAAAUCAGAAGCAUCAGUGAAACCAGAGAUGCUUCAUCUACAUGUGUGUCUAUGUAUCCUGUAUGUGCCUCGUAUCCCCUGAGGCCAGAAGAGGACAUAUAGGUGUUCCAGUCUCAGAUCAGAACAAACUUUAGAAGUAUCAAGUAGAAGUUGGACAGAUGGCUCAGCAGAUCACUUCAAAGAACUCAGUGUACCAGGCCCUUGUGUCCCCAUGACUUACAGUGAUACAGCAACCUGCUCUAUUCUGACCUUUCCUGUAGCUUUACUGAAUAAUCCCAUGGAAGAAAAAAAGGAAGCACAAAAGGCCAUGCAUUGAGUUCCCUUUUGAAAAUGUGUCACAACAACAUUUGGAGUCCUCUAAAACCUACUGAAGUGCCAACAUCUUAACGU